CCUACGGGAGGCAGCAGUGAGGAAUAUUGGUCAAUGGGCGAGAGCCUGAACCAGCCAAGCCGCGUGAAGGAUGAAGGAUCUAUGGUUUGUAAACUUCUUUUAUAUGGGAAUAAAGUGAGGAACGUGUUCCUUUUUGUAUGUAACAUAUGAAUAAGCAUCGGCUAACUCCGUGCCAGCAGCCGCGGUAAUACGGAGGAUGCGAGCGUUAUCCGGAUUUAUUGGGUUUAAAGGGUGCGUAGGUGGUUAAUUAAGUCAGCGGUGAAAGUUUGUGGCUCAACCAUAAAAUUGCCGUUGAAACUGGUUGACUUGAGUAUAUUUGAGGUAGGCGGAAUGCAUGGUGUAGCGGUGAAAUGCAUAGAGAUCACGCAGAACUCCGAUUGCGAAGGCAGCUUACUAAACUAUAACUGACGCUGAGGCACGAAAGCGUGGGGAGCAAACAGGAUUAGAUACCCUGGUAGUC
rnacentral:rRNA from 1 species